AACGAACGCUGGCGGCAUGCCUAACACAUGCAAGUCGAACGAGACCUUCGGGUCUAGUGGCGCACGGGUGCGUAACGCGUGGGAACCUGCCCUUAGGUUCGGAGUAACUCCCCGAAAGGGGUGCUAAUACCGGAUAAUGUCUUCGGACCAAAGAUUUAUCGCCUUUGGAUGGGCCCGCGUUGGAUUAGCUAGUUGGUAGGGUAAAAGCCUGCCAAGGCGACGAUCCAUAGCUGGUCUGAGAGGAGGAUCAGCCACACUGGGACUGAGACACGGCCCAGACUCCUACGGGAGGCAGCAGUGGGGAAUAUUGGACAAUGGGCGAAAGCCUGAUCCAGCAGUGCCGCGUGAGUGAUGAAGGCCUUAGGGUUGUAAAGCUCUUUUACCCGGGAUGAUAAUGACAGUACCGGGAGAAUAAGCUCCGGCUAACUCCGUG
rnacentral:rRNA from 1 species